rnacentral:rRNA from 1 species
UACAGAGGUCCCAAGCGUUGUUCGGAUUUACUGGGCGUAAAGGGUGCGUAGGUGGUCGGGUAAGUCUCAUGUGAAAUCCCGCAGCUUAACUGCGGAACGGCAUGGGAUACUAUUCGGCUCGAGGAUUGGAGGGGGGACUGGAAUUCCCGGUGUAGCAGUGAAAUGCGUAGAUAUCGGGAGGAACACCAGUGGCGAAGGCGAGUCCCUGGACAAUUCCUGACGCUGAGGCACGAAAGCCAGGGGAGCAAACAGGG